rnacentral:rRNA from 1 species
AACCUGUCGCACAGUGGGGGAUAACGCUGGGAAACCGGCGCUAAUACCGCAUGUGGUCGCUUCUGUAGCAGGGAGUGAAGAAAGCAGCAAUGCGCUGUGUGAGGGGCCUGCGUCCGAUUAGCUGGUUGGUGGGGUAACGGCUUACCAAGGCGACGAUCGGUAGCUGGUCUGAGAGGAUGGUCAGCCACACUGGGACUGAGAUACGGCCCAG